rnacentral:rRNA from 1 species
GACAGAGGGUGCGAACGUUGUUCGGAAUUACUGGGCGUAAAGCGCGUGUAGGCGGCAGCGUAAGUCGGGCGUGAAAUCCCACGGCUCAACCGUGGAACUGCUGGGCAUACUGCGGGUCUUGGGCCAACUAGGGGCAGCCGGAACAAGCGGUGGAGCGGUGAAAUGCGUAGAUAUCGCUUGGAACGCCAAUGGUGAAAACAGGUAGCUGGGGGUGUGCUGACACUGAGACACGAAAGCCAGGGGAGCAAACGGG